rnacentral:tRNA from 1 species
GUUCUUGUAGUUGAAUAACAACGAUGGUUCUUCAAGCCAUUGGUCUCGGUUAGAGUCUGGGCAAGAAUU